rnacentral:rRNA from 2 species
GCAUUGGCUUGUGGCCAAUGCAGUGCUGCAGGGAAGCCGUUAAGUUUGCCGCCUGGGAAGUACGUACGCAAGUAUGAAACUUAAAGGAAUUGGCGGGGGAGCACCACAAGGGGUGAAGCCUGCGGUUCAAUUGGAGUCAACGCCAGAAAUCUUACCCGGAGAGACAGCAGAAUGAAGGUCAAGCUGAAGACUUUACCAGACAAGCUGAGAGGUGGUGCAUGGCA